UCUGUCGCCGCCGCCGCCUCGCCCCUCCCCUGCGCUCGUGCCCUCUCCUUCUCCCACCCCGGGCUCCAUCUUCUCCGGCCCCUUCCUGCGCUCCAUCCCUUCCUCCUCGUUGUGGCAGGCAUCGCCGCUGCUGCGGAGGGCUCCUCAACGCCGCCGCAUCCGAGACAGCCCUAGAUGUGGCAGGCGACUCCAUCACCGGUCGCGUGCGGCGGAGGCCAGCCCAGAUCCGCCUCCUCCAGCCCAUCCUCUUCGUCACGCACAACGGGAAAGGUUGGGUUUGAGCUCCGCCACCCCAUCCCAUGCCGUUGUUCGUCGGUAGCAGACCGAGCUCCGCCUCCACACCCACCGUCCUUCCUUGUCGGCCCUUUUGUGUGUCGGGAACGGACCUCGGCGGCGUUUGCCUGGACAGGACCUCAACGGCGACCUGCAGGUCCCCAUUGAGAUGCCUGGAUACUUAUCUAAAUAUAAGAUGAUUGUAACUAAGGUCAUGUUCUAGGUAUAAAAAAUGAUCUGCUGGAUCAUGCUCUUGCAAUAACUGAUUUCGCUAUCAAGUCUACAAUCCAAUGUUGAUCUAGAAGAUAGAUGAAGACUGAAUUAGUUCACAGUUGAUCUUGGUUCUAUACGAUCUUCUAUAUUUGGGUCUCGUAGGUCUGUCUCCCAAGAGCAACGAGAAGAAAUCUGUUAACACAUUACUGCAUUAUAUGUAACAUAUGUCCAUUUUCACGGAAUGAAAGGUGAGUGCUAAUUACUUGUGCUGAACCAUUAUGGUGCCCCGAACUUUCUGACCAUUUGAGUUAUACUCCAGAGUCUUGAUGUUGACUGAAUUGAAAAUUUGGAGCUGUCGAGACUCGAGCUUCGUUUUUCGUGGAUUAGUGGUUAUUGAAUUUUUAUGCCUCUAGCCCAUGCUUGCAGGAACACAAUUAUUGAGUGGAACAAUGGGUGUAAAAGAGUAUGUGCAGAGUGAAUUUGAUAAUGUAGAAGCUCAGAUUAGAAGCACAAAUACGGUCCUUUUUUCCAAUUUUUGGAAGCAACGGUUUUACUGCUGCUCCUCCGAUGACCGAGGGUAGGCUGCAACUCUAGAUACAGAGAGAGCGAGUACAUAUAUAUAAUCUUUCGAUUCUUCUUUUUGUUUGUGAUGCUGCUGCAUUUUUCUUAAGCAGGGCUUGCCACUUUGUUGCAGUUGUGAGUUCUUUUAGUUUCCUUUUUAUGGGCAACCUGGAGCUCAAUUCUUAAAUUCCAAGGCCAUCGAGCAGGACAUGGAUCAUAUACUAGAAGUUUUAGUUAUGUAUGCAUCUAAUGUGGGAAAACCGCAUGGGCAC